GAUGAACGCUGGCGGCGUGCCUAAUACAUGCAAGUCGAGCGAACAGACGAGGAGCUUGCUCCUCUGACGUUAGCGGCGGACGGGUGAGUAACACGUGGAUAACCUACCUAUAAGACUGGGAUAACUUCGGGAAACCGGAGCUAAUACCGGAUAAUAUAUUGAACCGCAUGGUUCAAUAGUGAAAGACGGUUUUGCUGUCACUUAUAGAUGGAUCCGCGCCGCAUUAGCUAGUUGGUAAGGUAACGGCUUACCAAGGCGACGAUGCGUAGCCGACCUGAGAGGGGGAUCGGCCACACGGGAACUUAGACACGGGCCAGACUCCUACGGGAGGCAGCAGUAGGGAAUCUUCCGCAAUGGGCGAAAGCCUGACGGAGCAACGCCGCGUGAGUGAUGAAGGUCUUCGGAUCGUAAAACUCUGUUAUUAGGGAAGAACAAAUGUGUAAGUAACUAUGCACGUCUUGACGGUACCUAAUCAGAAAGCCACGGCUAACUACGUG
rnacentral:rRNA from 1 species